rnacentral:rRNA from 1 species
UACGUAGGGAGCAAGCGUUGUCCGGAAUUACUGGGUGUAAAGGGAGCGUAGGCGGGAUGGCAAGUUGGGUGUUAAAUCUACCGGCUCAACUGGUAGUCGCACUCAAAACUGCUAUUCUUGAGUGAAGUAGAGGCAGGCGGAAUUCCUAGUGUAGCAGUGAAAUGCGUAGAUAUCGAGAGGAACACUCGUGGCGAAGGCGGGUUCCUGGACAUUAACUGACGCUGAGGCACGAAGGCCAGGGGAGCGAAAGGG